CCCUUCCCUUCCCUCCCUUCUGUUCCUUCCCUCCCUUCUCCUGCCUUCCCCUUCCCCAGAGGGCAAUACCCACUAACCUUCAGCCUGUGUUUGUGCAGGGAUGGACAAUUGAACACUCACUGGACAAAUUGGCCCAGGGUGGGGACCCCAGUUCAUGAGGGGCUGAACUUCCUGUCUUCCUCAGAAGGAAAUUUGGGGGUUGAAAUCAUCUGAAGGGUUGCUUCAAGUCUCCCACACUCAGCUGAUGUCAGCGAAUAUUGAUGACCCCUCCCAAAAGCCCCACGUGUAUCAGACCCAGGCCUGUGACAAUGACAGUCUCACCCUAACCCCCAUCUCCUUUGCAUCUGUGAUGUAAAGACCUACAGACAGACUUGUGGAAGUGUUGCACAAGCUUACUUAUUGGUGUCCCCUGCUACACUACAAGCCCCCUGGAAGGUAAGGACUGUGUCCUGUUCAUCUCUCCCUCCCUAGGUACUCUUACAGAGCCUGGCAUAUUA
rnacentral:lncRNA from 1 species